rnacentral:rRNA from 1 species
AAAAACAUAGUUUUUUGAAUAUAUUUUAAGAUUUGUUCUGCUCAAUGAUUUUAAUUAAAUAGCCGCAGUAUUUUGACUGUGCUAAGGUAGCAUAAUCAAUUGUUUUUUAAAUGAAAACUGGAAUGAAGGAAUUAAUGAAAAUUAAACUGUUUUAAUUAAAAAUUUUAAAUUUAAAUUUUAAGUUAAAAUGCUUAAAUAAAAUUAUGGGACGAGAAGACCCUAUAGAAUUUAAUAUAUAAUAUUUAAAUAAAAUUUUAAUUUUAAAGUUUUAUAUAUUUUAUUGGGAGGAUAUUUAAAUUUUAUUAACUUUAAUUAAAUUAAUCAUAAAUUAAUGAAAAUAAUAAAUGAAUAAUUUAGUAAUUAAAUUAUUUAAAAAUUAAUUACCUUAGGGAUAACAGCGUAAUAUUAUUAGAAAGAUCAUAUUGAUAUUAAUGAUUGCGACCUCGAUGUUGAAUUAAAAUUAAAAUUAAAUGAAGAAGUUUAAUUAUUUAGUCUGUUCGACUAUUAAAAUUUUACGUGAUCUGAGUUCA